rnacentral:rRNA from 1 species
CCUACGGGAGGCAGCAGUAGGGAAUAUUGCUCAAUGGGGGAAACCCUGAAGCAGCAACGCCGCGUGGAGGAUGAAGGUUUUCGGAUUGUAAACUCCUUUUUUUAGAGAAGAUAAUGACGGUAUCUAACGAAUAAGCACCGGCUAACUCCGUAACAGCAGCCGCGUUAAUACGGAGGGUGCAAGCUUUACCCGGAAUUACUGGGCAUAAAGAGCGCGUAUGCGGGAUAGAAAGUCAGAUGUGAAAUCCUAUGGCUUAACCAUAGAACUGCAAUUGAAACUGUUAGUCUAGAGUAGGGGAGAGGUAGGUGGAAUUCGUGGUGUAGGGGUAAAAUGCGUAGAGAUCAAGAAGAAUACUGAUUGCGAAGGCGACCUGCUAGAACAUCACUGACGCUGAUGCGCGAAAGCGUGGGUAUCAAACAGGAUUAGAUACCCGAGUAGUC